GGCAAGAUGGCCGAGUUGGUUAUGGCGUGAGGUUAAGGUCACAAUCUUAGCAUCUAAUUCCUCAUGGAGCAAUCCGCGUGGGUUCAAGUCCCACUCUUGUCA
rnacentral:tRNA from 1 species